rnacentral:tRNA from 1 species
GCGGAAGUGGCGGAAUUGGCAGACGCGCAGGAUUCAGGAUUCUGUGGGCUUACGCCCGUGGGAGUUCGAGUCUCCCCUUCCGCACCA